CAGGGAGUUCCUUCAUUUGUUUUUCAACGUAGAUAAUGUUUGUUCAUUUGUUUAGGAUUUAGUCACUUUCUGCUGUGUUUUCAGGCUGGAAUCAUUGAGGGGAACUAAUCAGUAGCAACGUCUCUGGACGUGGAUGUCAGGAGUGAAGGUCCUGAAAGGAAUUAGUAGAACACCAUAGGAAAGAAACAAUUUAAUUAUGGAUAUGAAUAAAUUGAUGUCCACAUGUCAGAUGACCGGACCAGGAUUUGGUCUUUCUGUGUUUCUCUUGGCUCUGAUUGUUAUUUUUCAAUCCACCACAGGUAGGCUUGACUUUGCUGACCUUUGGGUUUGUCUUGCCAAUCGUACAUGUAAGGUAGCUACAGUACUGUAAACAGGGACAUCAAGUUGCCUAUCACAGCAUUUUGCUAGCACCAAAGGAUUGGUUGUUUGAAUCCCUGUGCUAACAAUAUUUUGGACAUUUAGCAGACUGUUCCAGUGCCUUACAAGAGCCAUUAGGGUUAAGUGACUUGCUCAAAGGCUCAACAAUAGCUGAAUCUUUUUUGAGAUUGGGCCAGUAACUGGUUGAAAUCCCUUUGUUCUAAGCACUAGACUACCUGCCAAUGAAAAUGAAUGACGUGCCUAAAUCGUAGUGCAAGUCUCCUAGAACGUCUGCUUAACAUAUUGUGUGAAAUCAGAAAGCAAAAGUUGCAGAUACCCUUGAUUUUACAAUGUCAACCACAGACCAGUUCACAUUGAAAUAGCCAAACAACCAUUUCCAUGAGUACUAGAGCUUUUGCAUCCUAGGCAAAUGAGCAUAAGGUAUUUCUCUGGCUAUUCCUUCUCACCUCUUUCAAAACUAACCAUCUUCUAGCCCAGAACUACACUACGCUUCCAAAUAAUGCAUCAGUGGCCAUUGGUCAGCCUGCUGCUUUCCAGUGUGGUGUGUUCAAUUCUACUGGACAACUUAACUUCACCCUCUACGGCAGCCAUGAAAACAAAACCCUUAUCUGCCCGGGAGACCACACUGAGUACCUGGCUCUUCAGACAAUAAAAGGUUACUGCAACAAAACGGGCAAUAAGUAUUUUGCAACCUGGCUUAUAACUGUGACAUCCAACUCAGACAACAACACACGAGUGGUAUGCAAGAGCUCAGGGCAACCAGAAGUAGAUGGAUACCUCUCAGUGUAUGCGAAUGUCAGUAACUUUGCCAUCCUUAUUGGCUGCGUUAUUGGAGGUUUCUUCAGUAUUCUCAUCUUCUUUGGCCUGUUAUAUGUUGUUUUCAGGAGAUCUGAGAGUUUCCAACACUGUUUUAGGGGAAAAGACUGCGAGGAUGUCACCACAAUGGUGACAAAGGAUUAAACACAAACCUUUCAAUAAUGUUGCAUUAUUGUGCUUUUUGUAAUUAUAUUCACAAUGUUGUUUUUAAUUUCUUACUGUUUUCAUUCAGGCAUUAGCUAACAUUAAGUUUAAUCGCCUGACAGAAAAGUUUAUUACAUGAAAUUACGAUAGGCCUAAAAAAAAAAAAAAGAAAUCUCUUCUCAAAUUCUGUUUUUUCCCCAAGAAGUAACAAAAAACACUUGCCCAACUUUUUCUAAUUUUAAAAAAUAUUACUUGGGAACAAAAAGAUUUUAAACUUUCAUAGCAAGGAACAAAUUCACACCCCCAGAUGAUAAGUAGAGAAUAGAUUAUACACAUGCCAAUGUACUGUAGAGGAGAAACAUGGUUUUGCAAAGCCAAGAUUUGCCUUGAAGCAGAGUGUGAAUUAUAUAAUGACAAUUGGGAGAGGGUUAACUUUUUCUCCAUGGUGUAAAGGGAAUCCAGUAGUCCAGUAGCAGUGCACGCUACGUCGCAUGUUUGAUGUUUCUGACUGGUUUGAAUUUGCUGUUCAGAGUGCCUGCACAGCAAAUAUAAUUUCCCUGACCCACGCCUGUUACUUGGGUUGUGGUUUUUACUUUCGUUAGUUAUAGAGCCAUCACGGAAUAGGGAUAUUUUACGAAUACUCACUUUUAAUAAAUUGGUCUGAUUGAGAGGCAUGUUCAGAACAAUUUAUUGUAUAGUUUGAUUGACAAUUUGAGACAUAGCUGGAAUUUUGAGUUGUAAGCUUUGGCUUAAAAUAGAAAAAGGAAGGGGAAGAUUUGCGAUUUCAAUGAUUUUAAAUGCAGCCCUACACUUCAGCUGCACUUCUUAUAUUGCUCUUAGAGUAAUUAUUCAAAAAAUCAUAUAUAUAUAUAUAUUUUUUUUUACAAAAAAGUAAUAUAAAAGAUCUGGGCUUAUUCAGAAAAGACCUGCGACUAUAGCCCCAGACGCCCAGGCCUAAUGACGCCAAUGAUGCGGAGUUCCACAGGGAUCAGUUCUCGGACCGCUUCUGUUCAAUCUCUAUAUGCUACCUCUGGGCCAAAUUCUACAGAACAACAACAUUAACUAUGCCGAUGUUACUCAUACUCAUAUAUAUGGCUCUCGAACCGUAUUACAACAGCUCAAUAGACUGUGUCACCGU
ensembl:lncRNA